GGCGUCGUGUGAUGGGAUACUGCCCGGGUGAGGUUUGACAGGUCAUUAGGCGCUGUUGAACCGCUGUCCUACUGGCCUCUCAAUCCUUAUCCGGCGUUUCCCUCGGACUUUCCGUCC
rnacentral:pre_miRNA from 1 species